ACAUUGCAGGUUCGUAUAUCUUGAAGAAAAAGGUUGAGCUUCCACAUCAAACAAGAGGUUGAGCUCUAGUAAACACAAAUAUUCCACCUGCAGCAGCACGCCCCAAAAGCAUAUUGGCAUCCAGAUAUGAAAGGUAAUAAAGCCCUCCAACUGAUCGCCUGCAAUUCAAUUUUCAUUCUUCACAAGAAUAUCUAAGAAGCAUGUGUAUAAUACAAGUUGAUUGUGAGAUCUAUGAAUGCAUGAUACAGACCUCCCUUGGUUUCUCACAGGAAUUUCAGCUUUGAAAGUACGAAUAAACUGCAAGAUCUGCACACAAACAUUUAUGCAACACACACAAAAGAAGAGGUGUAUUGAAGUGCAUGCACAUAGGUAUAAGCUAAUACAAAGUAGCAUCAAAGACAUGAAAAUAGUUUGUAUUGAUUUUUUUCAAUUUAUCUUGAAGUAGGAUAACCAAAUAUUUUCUGAACAUUCAAAGAUGAUAAAACUUCAAAAUCCAAGUUCGCUAGACAUUUGCUGAAUCUGGGACCCAGGUAUCAGAUGUCCAAGGUGGCAUGCAAACCUUGAAAUUCAAGAAUGCAAGCUGAAAUUAGGGAUGUAGCUUCUUUUACCUGUAGACUCAAAAAAGAACGUGGUAGUAUUGCUGGAGCUAUCAGAGCUUGGAGCUCCUCACUGAUGUUUAUACUUUGAAUUGAUAUCUGUGAUAUGGAAGUUGCAUCCUUCAGUUAAUACUUUGGUUAGUUAAUCUAGAAAUGUAUAAAGAGCAAGAAAAGACCAUUGAGAAUACUUUGUUAACAGGUGAUAAAACAUAAUUUAUGGUCUACUAACCCAACUUAAAUUGGUCAAUGUAGAUCUCAGUAUAUGGUUUAAAGCCCUACAUACAGGCCUGGAACCAAAAAAUUAGAGCCCAAUAUCAUUUGGGAGGAGCUUGAAUAAGAUCAUUAAGAUGAAGCUCUUUCACCUCAGCAUCACUUUCAGAUUGAAGAAAUGUCAGACUCAUCUGUUUAACAAGUCAAAACCAUUUAAGCAGGGAUAUUAAGUUUAUUGAAUUGCUUAUAAAUAGAGUUGAUUAUAACAAUGUAGGGAUUGAUUAUUAUUAUUAGAGAAAUACUAGAAGUUAGCAUCUAUUUCUCUCUCUCCUUGUUUUCUUAUAUUUUCUCAUCUAUUUUCUUCUCAUCUAAUUUGCUUCUUACCACAAUUUCUCUUCUAUGUACAAAGUGCUUCUGUUGUCCUACAGCAACAUUCCUCCAUUAGACAAGGCAUAGCCUUUGCAAGGGAAGUGAUUUGUAUAUCUGAUGCUGAACUUGUUGGUUUGACACAACAGAGCUUUUAAUCAAAGAUUGCAGAACUCUGCUUACACAAUCCUGACCUUGCUCUCUCUCCAACACUAUUCCUGAAGAGAACUUAUCUGUAGACUAUCUGAUUGAAUAUAAGUCAGACCGGAUUCAGAGGCGACCAUGGAAAGGAUCCCAUCAUUACUAGAAUGUGUUUCUAAUUGCCUUUUCUAGUCAUUUCCUCUAAAACAAUGGAGUAGACAAGUGGCACUUUUCCAUUGUCCCUAGUUUUAUAAUAAACUGGAC
rnacentral:lncRNA from 1 species